rnacentral:rRNA from 1 species
UACAGAGGUCUCAAGCGUUGUUCGGAUUCAUUGGGCGUAAAGGGCGCGUAGGCUGCGGGGCAAGUCGGGUGUGAAAUCUCAGAGCUCAACUCUGAAACUGCACUCGAUACUGCUUUGCUCGAGGACUGGAGAGGAGAUUGGAAUUCACGGUGUAGCAGUGAAAUGCGUAGAUAUCAAGAGGAACACCUGAGGUGAAGACGGGUUGCUGGGCCGACACUGACGCUGACAGCGCGAAAGCCAGGGGAGCAAACGGG